rnacentral:rRNA from 1 species
GACGAACGCUGGCGGCGUGCUUAACACAUGCAAGUCGAACGGAAAGGCCUGCUUUCCCUUGUGGAUUGCGGGUACUCGAGUGGCGAACGGGUGAGUAACACGUGAGUGAUCUGCCCCCAACUUGGGUAUAAGCCUGGGAAACUGGGUCUAAUUCCCGAUAGGACUGCAGGGUGGUGCCUGUGGUGGAAAACGAUUUUCUAGUGGUUGGGGAUGAGCUCGCGGCCUAUCAGCUUGUUGGUGGGGUAAUGGCCUACCAAGGCGGCGACGGGUAGCCGGCCUGAGAGGGUGGACGGCCACAUUGGGACUGAGAUACGGCCCAGACUCCUACGGGAGGCAGCAGUGGGGAAUAUUGCACAAUGGGCGGAAGCCUGAUGCAGCGACGCCGCGUGGGGGAUGACGGCCUUCGGGUUGUAAACUCCUUUCGACCGCGAGGAAGCCACCUGGUUGGAAGGGUGGUGACGUUAGUGGUAGAAGAAGCACCGGCUAACUACGUG